rnacentral:rRNA from 1 species
AACGAACGCUGGCGGCAUGCCUAACACAUGCAAGUCGAACGAGACCUUCGGGUCUAGUGGCGCACGGGUGCGUAACGCGUGGGAACCUGCCUUUAGGUUCGGAAUAACUCAGAGAAAUUUGAGCUAAUACCGGAUAAUGUCUUCGGACCAAAGAUUUAUCGCCUUUAGAUGGGCCCGCGUUGGAUUAGCUAGUUGGUGGGGUAAAGGCCUACCAAGGCGACGAUCCAUAGCUGGUCUGAGAGGAUGAUCAGCCACACUGGGACUGAGACACGGCCCAGACUCCUACGGGAGGCAGCAGUGGGGAAUAUUGGACAAUCGGCGAAAGCCUGAUCCAGCAAUGCCGCGUGAGUGAUGAAGGCCCUAGGGUUGUAAGCUCUUUUACCAGGGAUGAUAAUGACAGUACCUGGAGAAUAAGCUCCGGCUAACUCCGUGCCAGCAGCCGCGGUAA